UCAUAUGACCAUACCACCCUGAACAGUCUUAAUCAUAUCUGAUCUGUGAAGCUAAGCAGGGUCAGGCCAGGCCUAUUCACCACUGGGUGGGAGACUUUGUAGGAAUACUUGGUGUGGCAAGCU
ensembl:rRNA 5S_rRNA 5S ribosomal RNA